rnacentral:rRNA from 1 species
GACGAACGCUGGCGGCGUGCUUAACACAUGCAAGUCGAACGAGUGGCGAACGGGUGAGUAAUACGUGGGAACCUGCCUUUCACAGGGGAAUAACACUGGGAAACCAGUGCUAAUACCGCAUAGUGAAAGAUGGCCUCGCGCCUGAUUAGCUAGUAGGUGAGGUAACGGCUCACCUAGGUGAUGAUCGCUAGCUGGUCUGAGAGGAUGAUCAGCCACACUGGGACUGAGACACGGCCCAGACUCCUACGGGAGGCAGCAGUGGGGAAUAUUGCACAAUGGGCGCAAGCCUGAUGCAGCCAUGCCGCGUGUAUGAAGAAGGCCUUAGGGUUGUAAAGUACUGUCAGCGGGGAGGCGUUACCCGCAGAAGAAGCACCGGCUAACUACGUGCCAGCAGCCGCGGUAAUUC